UGGAGCACGGGAGCAUCCCGUGGUGUAAUGGCGAACGGGUGAGUAAUAUAUCGGAACGUGCCCAGUCGUGCGGGGAUAACGCAGCGAAAGCUGUGCUAAUACCUGCAUACGAUCUACGGAUGAAAGCGGGGGAUCGCAAGACCUCGGCGCGAUUGGAGGCGGCCGAUAUCAGAUUAGCUAGUUGGUGGGGUAAAGGCCCACCAAGGCGGCGAAUCUGUAGCUGGUCUGAGAGGACGAUCCAGCCACACUGGAACUGAGACACGGUCCAGACUCCUACGGGAGGCAGCAGUGGGGAAUUUUGGACAAUGGGGGCAACCCUGAUCCAGCAAUGCCGCGUGCAGGAUGAAGGCCUUCGGGUUGUAAAGCUCUUUUGUCAGGGAAGAAACGGUGAGGGCUAAUAUCUCUUGCUAAUGACGGUACCUGAAGAAUAAGCACCGGCUAACUACGUGCCAGCAGCCGCGGUAAUACGUAGGGUGCAAGCGUUAAUCGGAAUUACUGGGCGUAAAGCGUGCGCAGGCGGUCAUACAAGACAGAUGUGAAAUCCCCGGGCUCAAACCUGGGAACUGCAAUUUGUGACUGUAUGACUGGAGUGCAGGCAGAGGGGGAUGGAAUUCAGCGUGUACGCAAGUGAAAUGCGUAAGAAUAGUGCGGAGGGAAACACCGAAUGGCCGAAAGGGCAAUUCCCCUUGGAACUUGGUCACUGACCCGCUCAAUGACAAGAAAGCCGUGGGGCAAGCAAAACAGGAUUACAUACCCCUGGUACUCACAGACCCUAAA
rnacentral:rRNA from 1 species